AACGAACGCUGGCGGCGUGGUUUAGGCAUGCAAGUCGAACGAGAAAGCUCCCUUCGGGGGGUGAUUAGAGUGGCGAAAGGGUGAGUAAUAUAUGGAUAACUUACCCUCAAGACGGGGAUAACAGCUCGAAAGGGCUGCUAAUACCCGAUGGUUUCGGUUACUUACGGGUUUCCGGAUAAAUGGUGAUUCCGCUCGAGGAGAGGUCCAUGUCCUAUCAGCUUGUUGGUGAGGUAAUGGCUCACCAAGGCUAUUACGGGUAGCCGGACUGAGAGGUUGGCCGGUCACACUGGGACUGAGACACUGCCCAGACUCCUACGGGAGGCUGCAGUCGAGAAUCUUCCGCAAUGGGCGAAAGCCUGACGGAGCGACGCCGCGUGCAGGAAGAAGGCCCUCGGGUUGUAAACUGCUGUCACACGUUAAGAAUUGUUACGGUCUACCGUAACUGACAAAAGCG
rnacentral:rRNA from 1 species